CCUACGGGUGGCAGCAGUAGGGAAUAUUGCUCAAUGGGGGAAACCCUGAAGCAGCAACGCCGCGUGAGGGAUGACUGUUUUCGGAUUGUAAACUCCUUUUGUUAGAGAAGAUAAUCCCGGUAUCUAACGAAUAAGCACCGGCUAACUCCGUGCAAGCAGCCGCGGUAAUACGGAGGGUGCACGCGUUACUCCGAAUCACUGGGCGUAAAGGGCGCGUAGGCGGGAUAGCAAGUCAGAUGGGAAAACCUAUGGCUUAACCAUAGAACUGCAUUUGAAACUGUUAUUCUAGAGUAUGGGAGAGGUAGGUGGAAUGCUUGGUGUAGGGGUGAAAUGCGUAGAGAUCAAGAGGAAUACUCAUUGCGAAGGCGACCUGCUGGAACAUAACUGACGCUGAUGCGCGAAAGCGUGAGGAGCAAACAGGAUUAGAUACCCGGGUAGUC
rnacentral:rRNA from 1 species